rnacentral:ncRNA from 1 species
CAAAGGCUUGGUCCUGACUUUACUGUCAGCUUUGGCUAAACUUACACAUGCAAGUCUCCGCAGCCCUGUGAGAAUGCCCACAGUUCUCUGCCCGAGAACAAGGAGCUGGUAUUAGGCACAUAUUUUUAUCUAGCCCAUGACACCUUGCUUAGCCACACCCUCAAGGGAACUCAGCAGUGAUAGACAUUAAGCCCUAAGUGAAAACUUGACUUAGUUAUAGCCAAAACUUUUUAGGGCCGGUAAAACUCGUGCCAGCCACCGCGGUUAUACGAGAGACCCAAGUUGACAGACACCGGCGUAAAGGGUGGUUAGAGACCCACACUACACUAAAGCCAAAUGUCUUCAGAAUUGUUAUAUAUCCACGAAGAUAAGAAGUUCAAUUACGAAAGUGGCUUUAUCAUUCUCGACCCCACGAAAGCUGUGAAACAAACUGGGAUUAGAUACCCCACUAUGCCCCGCCUUAAACAUAGAUAAUUUUAUAUAUUAUCCGCCAGGGUACUACGAGCACCAGCUUAAAACCCAAAGGACUUGGCGGUGCUUUAGAUCCACCUAGAGGAGCCUGUUCUAGAACCGAUAAUCCCCGUUUAACCUCACCCUCCCUUGUCAUUUACCGCCUAUAUACCGCCGUCGUCAGCUUACCCUAUAAAGGUAUUACAGUAAGCAAAACUAGCACUUAACCCAAAACGUCAGGUCGAGGUGUAGCAUAUGAGAGGGGAAGAAAUGGGCUACAUUUCCUGCCACAGGAAACACGAACAAUGUAAUGAAAAGUACAUUAGAAGGAGGAUUUAGCAGUAAGCAGAAAAUAGAGAGUCCUGCUGAAACUGGCCCUGAAGCGCGCACACACCGCCCGUCACUCUCCCCAAACAUAACUAUUAAUAAUAACUAAUAAAUUUGUCAAAACAAAGGGGAGGCAAGUCGUAACAUGGUAAGUGUACCGGAAGGUGCACUUGGAAAAAU